CUCGCAGCGAAUUUUACACUAAUUCAUGGCGCGCGCAUGCAGAGCAGGCGGCCAGGCGCAGCUGAGCCCCUGCUGCAUGCUUGCAUGGAUGCAUGGCCAUGCACAGGGAAGGCAUGACACGUCCGCACACUGAUGAUACUAUGUACACCCUACGAGUACAGAAGUAGGAGUACUCCUACCACCAGCAGUACUUACUCCCAUGCAUGC
rnacentral:lncRNA from 1 species